GCAAUUGAUCCUUCUUCUGAUUUGAGCAACUUGUGGUCUCGGUCUAUUUCAUCUUGGGAAAAGCCAAGUGGUAGCUUAAGUCAGAAGUCAAUGUCAGUUCAAAUGCACCCAUAUUUCAACUCAUCUGCGACCUUGAGUAGUAUUUCUCAGUCAUCAACACAAACUCAUGGUGUUUUUGGAGACCGGUGGAAUUAUAACAGCAGUUCUGCAUCU
rnacentral:misc_RNA from 1 species